CUUGACCUCAAAUCCAAAUCAGGUAGGACUACCCGCUGAACUUAAGCAUAUCAAUAAGCGGAGGAAAAGAAACUAACAAGGAUUCCCCUAGU
rnacentral:rRNA from 1 species